rnacentral:piRNA from 1 species
UGCUAUUAUUAAAAUGGAUGACAAUGAAAU